rnacentral:rRNA from 1 species
AACAUUUCACAACACGAGCUGACGACAGCCAUGCAGCACCUGUCUCAGAGUUCCCGAAGGCACUAAGCUAUCUCUAGCGAAUUCUCUGGAUGUCAAGAGUAGGUAAGGUUCUUCGCGUUGCAUCGAAUUAAACCACAUGCUCCACCGCUUGUGCGGGCCCCCGUCAAUUCAUUUGAGUUUUAACCUUGCGGCCGUACUCCCCAGGCGGUCGACUUAACGCGUUAGCUCCGGAAGCCACGCCUCAAGGGCACAACCUCCAAGUCGACAUCGUUUACAGCGUGGACUACCAGGGUAUCUAAUCCUGUUUGCUCCCCACGCUUUCGCACCUGAGCGUCAGUCUUUGUCCAGGGGGCCUCCUUCGCCACCGGUAUUCCUCCAGAUCUCUACGCAUUUCACCGCUACACCUGGAAUUCUACCCCCCUCUACAAGACUCUAGCUUGCCAGUUUCAAAUGCAGUUCCCACGUUAAGCGCGGGGAUUCCACAUCUGACUUGACAAACCGCCUGCGUGCGCUUUACGCCCAGUAAUUCCGAUUAACGCUUGCACCCUCCGUAUUACCGCGGCUGCUGGCACGGAGUUAGCCGGUGCUUCUUCUGCGGGUAACGUCAAUCGACGCGGUUAUUAACCGCAUCGCCUUCCUCCCCGCUGAAAGUACUUUACAACCCGAAGGCCUUCUUCAUACACGCGGCAUGGCUGCAUCAGGCUUGCGCCCAUUGUGCAAUAUUCCCCACUGCUGCCUCCCGUAGGAGUCUGGACCGUGUCUCAGUUCCAGUGUGGCUGGUCAUCCUCUCAGACCAGCUAGGGAUCGUCGCCUAGGUGGGCCAUUACCCCGCCUACUAGCUAAUCCCAUCUGGGUUCAUCCGAUAGUGAGAGGCCCGAAGGUCCCCCUCUUUGGUCUUGCGACGUUAUGCGGUAUUAGCCACCGUUUCCAGUGGUUAUCCCCCUCUAUCGGGCAGAUCCCCAGACAUUACUCACCCGUCCGCCACUCGUCACCCGAGAGCAAGCUCUCUGUGCUACCGUCC